GUGGCCGGGGGUGCAAAGGAAACGCGGACAAAGGGACUAGUACUUUCAAGUGGCCCCUCGGUUGAAGAUGUUUACGGGCCUGUUAUGCGUAAAGUGGGUGGCAAACGCGGUAACUAGUAUGCAAACUACGAGUAAACACAAUUCCCUUAUCCACUGCAUCGUCCUGGAGCCGUUUCACGCUGGCGCGCUUGUCACGGGCCAGUCCACCGGAUCAAAUCAAGUAAUGAAACUAGCACACGUUGACUACAUAGAAAGGCGGGAGUGAUGGAAUGACAGACAGAGAGAGAAGUCGCUCAGGGAACAGCUUUUUCGUUGGUAUAAUCCUCGUGGCCGCGUGCACUUCGCGACCAGGUGGAGUCAGCGACGACUAGAAAUUUUGUAGUUACAACGCGGGUUCCAUUUGCAUACAUCAACCAACGGACCGGGAGAACCGAAUUUCCCGCAGGAAGGAUCUCAUUGACGGGCAUCGCGUGCUUGCUAGCCUCACUGACGUCAACAGAAUCCGUUCACGGAUCUCUGCAUUUCUCGUUACCGAUUUUGGUUUCGACUGGUUCCACCGGGUUCGCCUGCGUGGAAAAAACGUGUCCGUGCUUGAUCACAUUCUUCGUCUGACUCGCAAUCUCGCGUUUAGGGUCGGAAUUUUGGAACUGGUUUGAUUAGUUUCAGCUCGGAACUUGAUAGAAUGCAGAUUUGACGUGAAUGUAAACGAAGCCUGCAUUCCAAUGUAUUUUCUGCGGAUUUUUGAUCUUCAUUGCGAGUAAAUCUCGUUUUUCUCAAUUU
rnacentral:misc_RNA from 1 species